AUUGAACGCUGGCGGCAUGCCUUACACAUGCAAGUCGAACGGCAGCACGGGAGCAAUCCUGGUGGCGAGUGGCGAACGGGUGAGUAAUAUAUCGGAACGUGCCCGGUCGUGGGGGAUAACGUAGCGAAAGCUACGCUAAUACCGCAUACGAUCUACGGAUGAAAGCGGGGGAUCGCAAGACCUCGCGCGAUUGGAGCGGCCGAUAUCAGAUUAGGUAGUUGGUGAGGUAAAAGGCUCACCAAAGCCGACGAUCUGUAGCUGGUCUGAGAGGACGACCAGCCACACUGGGACUGAGACA
rnacentral:rRNA from 1 species